ensembl:lncRNA
AGAUGAUGUUGUCAACGAACAUCUGGAUAAACCAGUGAGCCAAACCGCUUCUGAGAAGAAGAGACACUUUUUCCGAAUAUAUUUCCUACUGAUAUUCUGCCACUGUGCAACAGUUUUGUUCAGCAGUGGGAUUAAAAAUCCAGCCAGGCAGCUGGUACUACAAAGUAGAAUUUAAAAUGUGAAAUGUUACUGAGCCUUGGAGAACAAUUCUCUUUCUCGUGUGCCCUCCACCGCAAGAGCUCACGGAGGUCACUGACAGAAUAGCUGUGAAACUGUUAGGAAUUCACCGACUUGCUCGAGGACACUCCAGUAGCAUGAUUGCUUCCCAGCGUGAGCAUUUGAACUUUAAACCUCCUGCAGAAGGGGCGCCCCUUUUAACCACUAUGUCAACCUGUUAAACACAGGAGACAUUGCCUUCAAGAACACUGGACAGCACUCUUCGACGUGAGCCGUCAGAUUGUAAAAGGACGGAUUAGUGACCACUGAACAUAAUGUUCUUAUCCUGUCUAUUGACUGUAGGGCAGGAUACUGCACCUACUGACAGGACUGUGAAAAAGAGGAGAUGGACUGGGGUUGGUUGUUUGUUUUCUUUUUGACCACGAUUUUCUUCUCCAACCAUAUCUAAACUCAGGUGUACAAAAGGAGGUACUAUGAGACUGUCACCCUAACCUAGUCAACUCAAAAGCCCCUGGUAGUUGCCUUGGUUUGUUUUUAUGAAUGUAUGAGUGAAUGUGUAGACAGGAAAUGCAGUGCAGCAGCUGCUUGUGAAAGAACAAACAACACUGAUCAUCCAUCUGAAGCACAAGUCAUCCCACCCAUUUCUUGUUCAUUUCCACCCAAUCUCUAAUGUUUUUCUUUCUCUGGAGCACACACACAGUAUAUGCAUCAUUCAAAGCUGCCUUCAUUUGUUUGAAUGUCUUUGAGUAGCAGAGAGGGACCGGCAAGGGUGGUGUCAUUAUUAUCUAAAUAUGUGUGAUUCUCUGUUGUGCACUAUGGAUUUCUGUUAGUCUGGACAUCCUGGAACCAAGUGGCCUUGGAUAGUCGUAUUUUAGUCGAUACUUAUUAAUGCGUAAAUGUAUCUAAGAGUGUAUACUAUAUUAAUCACCGCCCUUCACUGCACAGACUUAUUUCGGACGAUAUACUCACUGGUGUAUAUACGUGCACAGAGCAAAUGCAUACACAAAAAAAAUUAUUUGGCUAUUCGAGUGUCCUCCAACAAGUUUGUUUUAGUUCUUUGUUCCUUUACGGUUCCUUCCCCGUGUCAGUACUAAACAUAUCCUCAGGGUGUACAGUUUCUUUAUACGGGUACUGUUCUGAAUUAUUUGAAGGAGGAACAGCAUAAAGAAAAUGAGACUGCAGCUGUGGUAAAUCAAUCCACCUCAUGAAGAAGUUGACUUGUGAGAGUCAUUGGCCUUAAUAAUAAAUAACUGCCCCCUUUUUUUUUUCUUUCUUUUUUUUAAAUAUAUUGCUUUCGUCAGAGUUAAUUGGAUUUUAAUAGGAUCUAAUUUGUUACUCUACAUUCCACUUAAUUUGAUGUCAAAUCAUUUGUCAUCACAAUGAAUUUUGGUUCUUUGUCUGCGAGCCCCACUGGGGAAGUUUAGCAAUGGCGAAAAAAAGAAUAAUCUACCUCAUCUAGCCAGUCUGUGGCAUCUACAAAGUCUAUCCACUUCUUCUCGUACUCUGCCAGACUCCUGUGGGGUGACGUUCUGUGACCAGCAUGAAUUGAUGUUAGCACCACUUUUAGAUCUCAUGACUGUAGAACUGAGAAUGAAAUUGCCUUACAAUGCUUUACCAUCUUUGGCGGGAAAUAAAAAGCUUGUGUGUCGGAUCUCUGUGACUAAUUAUGGUGCUCACUGACGACCUCAAGUAGAGGUGAUUACUCGGCUGUCUGCAGGUGCUGAGGCGUCCACUGUUCCAUGGUAUUGCACCUUCAUUCUUAUCAUUUUUUAAAAAUAUUAUUAGAGAAUGAUGGACAAUAUUUAGUAUUUUAAGAUGGGACUAUGUCUUAACUUCUACAGAUCAAACGCCAUUCCACCUACAGGUUGUGGGCAGUAGUCCAGUCUAAGGUCUGUAAUGGGCUGUAUACAGUUUGGCAGCAUUAGAAUGUCUUAAGUUAUAGGAUGUUGUAAUGAAAUAUUCAAGAAAAGAAGCUGGGUCGGGGAAAGCUAGACGCUAUGAGACAAUUUUGUAAAUGUAUCACAGAAGACCUGUCAUAGAUGAUUUGCUAUUUUGUUAAAAUAGGCAGUAUUGGUGAGCUCAGUGGGGCCACUAAGGAGGUAGUGUGUUCACUCGUGCUGUCUAAUGUAUGAAGGGCAGUUUGUUUUAUUUUUUUUAAUAAGGUCUGUAAGGUUGUGAUGUUAUCUUAUGAUGUACAGGUGUGUGUGUUUGUGUGUACAGAUGUUUUUUUUGGGUUUUUUUUUUUCUCUUCUGGUGCAUACAAUCGGCACCAGAUGACUGGAAGUGCGCGUUCAUCUUUCACUUUACUCUGCUGUCAUCUCUGCACUAGUUGUAACCCAGUUAGGCGUGAUUAAAUGUGAAUCAUAUUUAUUUGCUGUUUUAAGAAUUUUUGUACAUUUUUGGACUUUGUUUUAAUAUAAUUCUGGCGUCUGUCUCUUUUUUUCUCUCAAUGUUUUUGAUGUUUUUAAGCAGUCGUCUUUUACCUCAGUAGCCAUUGGAGAAGAAAAGACCUGUCUUUCAUUUUGAAGUGACGUUUACAAGUUCUUAUCUGACUGACAUAGAUUAUUUUGGAAAUGGAAUGGAGUAUUUUCUCUACUGUACAUUUCUUAGGAAUAAAAAAAAUGUUUCUCAAACAUCACUUUGGCCUUUUUUUUUGAGAAAUAAACACUGGGUUGGGUUUAUUUAUUUAUUUUUUUAAAUGACUCUUGGAGCAACUGAAACGUUAAAAAUAAUGAAAUGAAAAAGUCCACAAUGUGACGGCUGAUGCAUGACAAUGCAUUAAUGUAUUUGGAGGCUUUACACCAUCACUUUUGAUUAGUGUUUAUCCUCGUGAUGAACACCCUCCACAGAUUGAAUGCUGCUUUGUCUGACCCUUCUCCUGUCAGCAGGAGUCACAGAUGUGACGUCAGAGGGUUCCUCCUAAUAAAAAGUAAUAUAUUCUUUUGUUUAGGCCUAAUGAGGCCAAAAUUGGCAUUAGAAAGAAAAUGCAAAUGAGGCAUGUAAUUAAGGCGCUUU